AGAAAUAUAAAAUAGUAAAAUAAUUACCUUUAAAGAGAUGAAAUUUUGUAGAAUUAAACAAUGAAAGUUUAGAGGGAUGAAUGUCAGGAGGAAGAAAAAUGAAAAAAGUUUAGAUCGUGGAAGUGGAAAUGGUUGUAGUGUGAGAUUAACAAAGGAAUUUGCGAGGGGGCUCCACACACUCUUAAUCAGCCAUAUUUAGCUU
rnacentral:lncRNA from 1 species